GGGUCGUUAGCUCAGUUGGUAGAGCAGUUGGCUUUUAACCAAUUGGUCGUAGGUUCGAAUCCCACACGCCCCACCA
rnacentral:tRNA from 1 species